rnacentral:rRNA from 1 species
UACGGGGGGGGCAAGCGUUGUUCGGAAUUACUGGGCGUAAAGGGCUCGUAGGCGGCCAACUAAGUCAGACGUGAAAUCCCUCGGCUUAACCGGGGAACUGCGUCUGAUACUGGAUGGCUUGAGGUUGGGAGAGGGAUGCGGAAUUCCUGGUGUAGCGGUGAAAUGCGCAGAUAUCAGGAGGAACACCGGUGGCGAAGGCGGUUCUCUGGGCAUUACCUGACGCUGAGGAGCGAAAGUGUGGGGAGCGAACAGG